rnacentral:rRNA from 1 species
GACGAACGCUGGCGGCGUGCUUAACACAUGCAAGUCGAACGGAAAGGCCCUGCUUUUGUGGGGUGCUCGAGUGGCGAACGGGUGAGUAACACGUGAGUAACCUGCCCUUGACUUUGGGAUAACUUCAGGAAACUGGGGCUACUACCGGAUAGGAGCUCCUGCUCCAUUGUGGGGGUUGGAAAGUUUCGGCGGUUGGGGUUGGACUCGCGGCUUAUCAGCUUGUUGGUGGGGUAGUGGCUUACCAAGGCUUUGACGGGUAGCCGGCCUGAGAGGGUGAACGGCGACAUUGGGACUGAGAGACGGCCCAGACGCCUACGGGAGGCAGCAGUGGGGAAUAUUGCACAAUGGGAGGAAGCCUGAUGCAGCAACGCCGCGUGUGGGAUGACGGCCUUCGGGUUGUAAACCGCUUUCGCCUGUGACGAAGCGUGAGUGACGGUAAUGGGUAAAGAAGCACCGGCUAACUACGUG